AGGGCCGGGAUGCGGUGCAGUGUUGUGCUCUCGCCCACCAAUAUUGCACUCGUCCCGGCCUCC
rnacentral:pre_miRNA from 1 species